rnacentral:rRNA from 1 species
UAAGCGACUAAGCGUACACGGUGGAUGCCCUGGCAGUCAGAGGCGAUGAAGGACGUGCUAAUCUGCGAUAAGCGUCGGUAAGGUGAUAUGAACCGUUAUAACCGGCGAUUUCCGAAUGGGGAAACCCAGUGUGUUUCGACACACUAUCAGUUAACUGAAUCCAUAGGUUAAUGAGGCGAACCGGGGGAACUGAAACAUCUAAGUACCCCGAGGAAAAGAAAUCAACCGAGAUUCCCCCAGUAGCGGCGAGCGAACGGGGAGCAGCCCAGAGCCUGAAUCAGUGUGUGUGUUAGUGGAAGCGUCUGGAAAGGCGCGCGAUACAGGGUGACAGCCCCGUACACAAAAAUGCACAUGCUGUGAGCUCGAUGAGUAGGGCGGGACACGUGGUAUCCUGUCUGAAUAUGGGGGGACCAUCCUCCAAGGCUAAAUACUCCUGACUGACCGAUAGUGAACCAGUACCGUGAGGGAAAGGCGAAAAGAACCCCGGCGAGGGGAGUGAAAAAGAACCUGAAACCGUGUACGUACAAGCAGUGGGAGCACGCUUAGGCGUGUGACUGCGUACCUUUUGUAUAAUGGGUCAGCGACUUAUAUUCUGUAGCAAGGUUAACCGAAUAGGGGAGCCGAAGGGAAACCGAGUCUUAACUGGGCGUUAAGUUGCAGGGUAUAGACCCGAAACCCGGUGAUCUAGCCAUGGGCAGGUUGAAGGUUGGGUAACACUAACUGGAGGACCGAACCGACUAAUGUUGAAAAAUUAGCGGAUGACUUGUGGCUGGGGGUGAAAGGCCAAUCAAACCGGGAGAUAGCUGGUUCUCCCCGAAAGCUAUUUAGGUAGCGCCUCGUGAAUUCAUCUCCGGGGGUAGAGCACUGUUUCGGCAAGGGGGUCAUCCCGACUUACCAACCCGAUGCAAACUGCGAAUACCGGAGAAUGUUAUCACGGGAGACACACGGCGGGUGCUAACGUCCGUCGUGAAGAGGGAAACAACCCAGACCGCCAGCUAAGGUCCCAAAGUCAUGGUUAAGUGGGAAACGAUGUGGGAAGGCCCAGACAGCCAGGAUGUUGGCUUAGAAGCAGCCAUCAUUUAAGAAAGCGUAAUAGCUCACUGGUCGAGUCGGCCUGCGCGGAAGAUGUAACGGGGCUAAACCAUGCACCGAAGCUGCGGCAGCGACGCUCAUGCGUUGUUGGGUAGGGGAGCGUUCUGUAAGCCUGCGAAGGUGUGCUGUGAGGCAUGCUGGAGGUAUCAGAAGUGCGAAUGCUGACAUAAGUAACGAUAAAGCGGGUGAAAAGCCCGCUCGCCGGAAGACCAAGGGUUCCUGUCCAACGUUAAUCGGGGCAGGGUGAGUCGACCCCUAAGGCGAGGCCGAAAGGCGUAGUCGAUGGGAAACAGGUUAAUAUUCCUGUACUUGGUGUUACUGCGAAGGGGGACGGAGAAGGCUAUGUUGGCCGGGCGACGGUUGUCCCGGUUUAAGCGUGUAGGCUGGUUUUCCAGGCAAAUCCGGAAAAUCAAGGCUGAGGCGUGAUGACGAGGCACUACGGUGCUGAAGCAACAAAUGCCCUGCUUCCAGGAAAAGCCUCUAAGCAUCAGGUAACAUCAAAUCGUACCCCAAACCGACACAGGUGGUCAGGUAGAGAAUACCAAGGCGCUUGAGAGAACUCGGGUGAAGGAACUAGGCAAAAUGGUGCCGUAACUUCGGGAGAAGGCACGCUGAUAUGUAGGUGAAGUCCCUCGCGGAUGGAGCUGAAAUCAGUCGAAGAUACCAGCUGGCCGCAACUGUUUAUUAAAAACACAGCACUGUGCAAACACGAAAGUGGACGUAUACGGUGUGACGCCUGCCCGGUGCCGGAAGGUUAAUUGAUGGGGUCAGCGCAAGCGAAGCUCUUGAUCGAAGCCCCGGUAAACGGCGGCCGUAACUAUAACGGUCCUAAGGUAGCGAAAUUCCUUGUCGGGUAAGUUCCGACCUGCACGAAUGGCGUAAUGAUGGCCAGGCUGUCUCCACCCGAGACUCAGUGAAAUUGAACUCGCUGUGAAGAUGCAGUGUACCCGCGGCAAGACGGAAAGACCCCGUGAACCUUUACUAUAGCUUGACACUGAACAUUGAGCCUUGAUGUGUAGGAUAGGUGGGAGGCUUUGAAGUGUGGACGCCAGUCUGCAUGGAGCCGACCUUGAAAUACCACCCUUUAAUGUUUGAUGUUCUAACGUUGACCCGUGAUCCGGGUUGCGGACAGUGUCUGGUGGGUAGUUUGACUGGGGCGGUCUCCUCCUAAAGAGUAACGGAGGAGCACGAAGGUUGGCUAAUCCUGGUCGGACAUCAGGAGGUUAGUGCAAUGGCAUAAGCCAGCUUGACUGCGAGCGUGACGGCGCGAGCAGGUGCGAAAGCAGGUCAUAGUGAUCCGGUGGUUCUGAAUGGAAGGGCCAUCGCUCAACGGAUAAAAGGUACUCCGGGGAUAACAGGCUGAUACCGCCCAAGAGUUCAUAUCGACGGCGGUGUUUGGCACCUCGAUGUCGGCUCAUCACAUCCUGGGGCUGAAGUAGGUCCCAAGGGUAUGGCUGUUCGCCAUUUAAAGUGGUACGCGAGCUGGGUUUAGAACGUCGUGAGACAGUUCGGUCCCUAUCUGCCGUGGGCGCUGGAGAACUGAGGGGGGCUGCUCCUAGUACGAGAGGACCGGAGUGGACGCAUCACUGGUGUUCGGGUUGUCAUGCCAAUGGCACUGCCCGGUAGCUAAAUGCGGAAGAGAUAAGUGCUGAAAGCAUCUAAGCACGAAACUUGCCCCGAGAUGAGUUCUCCCUGACUCCUUGAGAGUCCUGAAGGAACGUUGAAGACGACGACGUUGAUAGGCCGGGUGUGUAAGCGCAGCGAUGCGUUGAGCUAACCGGUACUAAUGAACCGUGAGGCUUAACCU